AGGCUCCAGGAGCUGAGGGCGGCGGGGGGAGGAGGCGGCUGUAAAAUGGCCCCGGUCGUUUGCUCAGGUGGAGGGAUCUUCCUCGAGGGGUGACACUCGUUCUGGAGCGCAGGGGCGGAGGAGGCGUCGGCGGGCCUCUUCUGCCGGGGAACGCGGGGCGACCUGGUGGCCGGUAGCCGCAUUUGGGAGGGCGUGGUCCUUACACCUCCUCAUCCUCCUCCUCGUCAGCCGGAGCCGAGCCCGCCUUCGGCGUCUCACCUGUCGGGGUCUGGCAAAGCGUCUCCCGGUGCAGUUCAGAGAGGCCGGGCGGGGCUGGGAGCCUCUGAAGUGGCUCCAACACGCUUAAAUCUGACUGAGGGCAAGCAUCUCCUCAGCCGUGGUUUUCCUAUGGAACUCAGAUUGCACUUACUUUCCUUCUUCCGUUCCCUUAUUUGACAGAUAAACAAGCAAAAGCAAUAGUGACAGUUUAUAUACGAAAGUAGCAGUUUAUACGGUUAUUGUAAUACUCAUGCUAGGUAUUAAGCCACAUAGCUUUAAAAGAUAAGCAUGCGUGUACGGCUUCCCCUGACUGUGAAGAGAGGUGAGCACACUUAUCUGCAGGCUGGAUGUGAAGAGCCGAUUAUAAUUCUGAACCAUGACUGGUUCAGUUAAUAUUCCAAAACAAGUUGUUUUACAAAGCAUUAAGGAUGCAUCAUUUAGUUAUCUCUCACUUGAAAACUUGCAAUGUUGUCAUCAUCAUCUGUUACCUUCACCAUCACCCAGAAAGCCUGGUAGACCUGCUGUAUAUUCCUCAGAAAAAAAGAGGAGAGAGAAUCUGGAGAGAAAAAGAGCUCAAUCAAAGAUAUGACCAAUAGAAACACGGAGGUGAUGUCUGCAAGGAAUCCCAAAUGACACAGAUUGAAGCUUGGUGUUAAAAGCUGAAAAGGAUGUGUUGGAGACCUUUUUCACUACUGACUGCUGUAAGGCUACCAAAGAGAAAGAUUGUCACCAUCUGUUUGUGAUGAGUACACUCACACAAUCACAGAAUCACAGAAUGCUGGGGGUUGGAAGGGACCUCAGGAGAUCAUCUAGUCCAAGCCCCCUGCUAAUGCAGGAUCACCUAGAGCAGGUUGCACAGGAUCGCGUCCAGGCAGGUGCUGAAUAUCUCCAGAGAAGGAGACUCCAUGACCUCUCUGGGCAGCCUGUUCCAGUGCUCUGUCACCCUCAGAGUAAAGAAGUUUUUCCUCAUGUUCAGAUGGAACUUCCUGUGUUCCAGUCUGUGCCUGUUGUCCCUUGUCCCGUCACUGGGCACCACUGAGAAGAGUCCAGCCCCUUCCUCUAGACAUCCACCCUCUAGAUAUUUAUAAGUGUUGAUGAGAUCCCCUCCCAGUCUUCUCUUCUCCAGGCUAAACAGACCCAGCUCUCUCAGCCUUUCCUCACAGGAGAGAUGCUCCACUCCCCUAAUCAUCCUUGUAGCCCUCCACUGGACACUCUCCAGUAGUUCCCUGUCUUGAACUAAGGAGCCCAGAACUGGACACAGAACUCCAGAUGUGGCCUCUCCAGGGCAGAGUAGAGGGGGAGGAUAACCUCCCAUGACCUGCUGGCCACAUUCUUCUUUAUGCUCCCCAGGAUACCAUUGGCCUUCUUGGCCAUGACGGCAGUCAUACUGACUGAACAGUGCUUUGGUUUGGGCAUCACAGAAAUAGGCCUGUUGUGCAAACCUUGUGAACUUGUGCUGAGUCUCAUCUUAUCAGGGACUAAUGCUCUGAGCCAAAACCACAAUACCUGCCUGAGCUGGAACUAGAUGGAACUAAAAAGUGCUACAGUUGCACACCUGCACAUACAUAGACCAAGGGGGAGUUUGACUACGUGCCAAUCAUUUUACGCUACAAAUAUGUGCAGCCAUUGGAGCCCAUCGAGCUCCCCUGCAUGGCAAUGGGCUGAUCUCCCCUUAAGUAGGGAUGCCUCUCAAGUUCCCCCUCAAGGCUGAAAGAUCCCUUACCCAGCAUCUAAUGUCUACAGCAAGAUGGAAAGCAUCUUGCUUCAAAAUGUCUCUUACACAGUGCUGCUGCACUCUGAGUCCCAACUUUCAAGAAGUCACAGAGGUACCUAGGGAGCCCUGCUGCUAACAAGAAGACAAGUUCCGUGUUUCUGGAUUUAAAUGCCUCCUGUAGAUGAGUUCUGCUCAAUGUUGACAGAGACCAAAACAGUUUUACAGGAGCCCUUGCUCAUGCCCAAGGCCUGCAGAUAUAAAGAACGAAGACACGGAAGGGCUAAACAGUAACACAAAGCUUAACGCAAACUCAUACUUUAAAGAUCCAG